UACGAAGGGGGCUAGCGUUGCUCGGAAUCACUGGGCGUAAAGGGCGCGUAGGCGGAUCUUUAAGUCAGGGGUGAAAGCCUGAGGCUCAACCUCAGAAUUGCCUUUGAUACUGAAGAUCUUGAGACCGGAAGAGGUAAGUGGAACUGCGAGUGUAGAGGUGAAAUUCGUAGAUAUUCGCAAGAACACCAGUGGCGAAAGCGGCUUCCUGGUCCAGCACCGACGUUCAGGCACGAAAGCGUGGGGAGCAAACAGG
rnacentral:rRNA from 1 species